rnacentral:rRNA from 1 species
GAUGAACGCUGGCGGCGUGCCUAACACAUGCAAGUCGAGCGAUCUCUUCGGAGAGAGCGGCGGACGGGUGAGUAACGCGUGGGUAACCUGCCCUGUACACACGGAUAACAUACCGAAAGGUAUGCUAAUACGGGAUAAUAUAUAAAAGUCGCAUGGCUUUUAUAUCAAAGCUUUUGCGGUACAGGAUGGACCCGCGUCUGAUUAGCUAGUUGGUAAGGUAACGGCUUACCAAGGCGACGAUCAGUAGCCGACCUGAGAGGGUGAUCGGCCACACUGGAACUGAGACACGGUCCAGACGCCUACGGGAGGCAGCAGUGGGGAAUAUUGUACAAUGGGCGAAAGCCUGAUGCAGCAACGCCGCGUGAGCGAUGAAGGCCUUCGGGUCGUAAAGCUCUGUCCUCAAGGAAGAUAAUGACGGUACUUGAGGAGGAAGCCCCGGCUAACUACGUGCCAGCAGCCGCCGUAA